GGCAAAUAUUAUGGAUGGCACUUCAUUUCAUAAUAGAACCUGUAUGCACAGCAAUUAGCAGCCGGAAAAUGAGCAGGACAGAGCCAACGUUAGGCAUGCGUAAUGUUUUCAUUAUAGGAGUUACAAAUCACCUAUUAAUCUCCCUCUAAACACCCAGCAACACGCACGCAUUCCUCACCUCAAAGUUGGUUCUGUGCAACUGCUCUAGGUAAACAGAACGAGAUGCCAGGAGGCAGCCUGUCGGUGUUUGAUUUAUGGCGUGAACUGAGCGCCUUUGUGUGUUAAAGACUUGAUUAACCCCCAGGAGCAAAGUGUCACAAUAUCAAACAGCUCCACUGGAGGCUGGCCCUGCAAGGCCCGGCCCACAUGGCCUGCCCAGGACAGUCUGUGUGUCCAGGGUGGUCUGCGUGUCCAGGAUGGUCUGCGUGUCCAGGACAUCUGUGUGUCCAGGGUGGUCUGCAUGUCCAGGACAUCUGUGUGUCCUGGGAGGUCUGCGUGUCCAGGGAAUCUGUGUGUCCAGGGUGAUCUGUGUGUCCAGGGUGGUCGUAUGUCCAGGAUGGUCUCUGUGUCCAGGGAAGUCUGCAUGUCCUAGGACAGUCUGUGUGUCCAGGAUGUGUGUCCUGGGAAGUUUGCAUGUCCAGGACCCCCAGGGAGCAUUUGCACUUGAUCCAGCUGUGGGGGUUCUUAUGGAUGCCGUCUACAGAAGGGUCACUCUGAAUCCAAAACUCUGAGCAGCAAUGUGUCCUAAGACACUCCUGUCUGCAGCCAGACGGCAUCCUCUCCAGCCUCGCUUCUCGGAGCCGCAUGCUGACCCCGGGCUGUGGGGCACACCUGCCGUAGAUGAGGACAGCCCACUCGACACACACAGGGUCUGCUUGCUUCAGCGCAUGAUCGAGGACCCAUGCGUGUUCACGCAGAGCUCACACACAGAGCUCAGCUGGUGGGGGCAGGAGCUUGUCCCCUCCGCGUCUAGACAACCGCCAAGCCCUGACCAAAACCCUGGCCAGAUGCCUCACGAAACUCGGAAGAUGCACCUACCCUCCUCCAGCACCCAGGGGCUCGGGAAGGAUCCCAUAAGCAAACCCAUCAACAUUCCCGCAGGGAGACAGUUUCGUUACACACGCGUGAUAAAUAGACUCAAAACACCCAUGUUUGUGUCGGGGCGCCACUUCCAACAGGACCAACGGCGGUUGUGUCUCCAAAGGCGUUGGCUUCAGUUCUGGAGGCCAGUACCUGGGCCAAGCCCAGGUGACAGGGGUUGUCAGGCCGCACCUGUGACAGCAGGGGCUGCCGCGUGGAGUCUGCCUGUUGAACUCCCGUAACAGCCCAACCUGCCGGAUGAUGGAAGUUAAAUCCCGUCCAUAGGCCGCCCCUCUUUGUCUCCCGAGGCCUGGGGUCUAACAAACUCUGACAUUUGGGGAAGGGUCUUCCGGUGCUCAGUCUGCAGCAGCCACUGCUGAUGCCCCACCAUCUACUUCCCAGCUUAGGCCCUGGUCGCUGCCAAGGCCAGACCCCAAGGGGCGUAGGCACCAAUGUCCUGCAAGGUUCUGACCCUCCAGGGCAUUCUGAGCAAACAGAGGUGGUCGCGGCAGCGUGAGAACCACAGGGCCCCUCCCCAGCUCAGGGAACCUCCCCAGCUGCCCGUCGUCCAGCUGACUCCCACACCAACACCCUCACCCCUCCUGAGCACAUAAGCUGAGGACCACACAUGUCUGGCUUCCUCUGACGUCAGGACCAGCCGCUCUGGUUGGGGGGCCUAGAAGAGACCCCUGCGGCCCUGGAUCAGGAGGCCAGAGGCCCCGGCUCUUGGGGACUUUGGGACUGCACUAAAGGGCUCUUCUACCCUCUCAGCCGUCAGGCCAACGGAGACCAGAGGCUCCGUGCGGCCGUGUGACUCUGGACUGGGGCUCACCUUCCACCUCGUCCUCCCCGAGACCCGCACCGUCUCCACAUGUGCACCCGGCCGGCUCUCGGGAACCCCGCUCAACACAGCCACCGCCUGGGCCCUGCCCGUCCGGGGGCCUCGCUGGGCUCCCUCCACCACGCCUGAGGCUGCUUUUCUGCUUUCUGAUCCUGUCCUUCUCAGCUGCCCACAGCCCUCUCCCCGUCGUUCCUCGUCCCCCGUUCUCCUCCCCCCUCAUCCCUCGUAGCUGAGUCCACCUCCGUGCAGAAACAUGUCACUUAGUGAGAAAGCAUUGGCUCCAAAACAGUGUGUGCCAACAAACACUGGGGACAACGCAGACAGCCCAGGGGAGCCCGGAGCCCACAUCAGGCCCGCUCAGCCACUCCAGCCGGGCCUUCAGGCAGGCCUCCUGACCACUCUGCAUCCAGACCCGCGGGGGGCUGCCCUCUGACCAGCCAUGGCGGCCGGCGCAGGUUGGUGGGUGGUGGCCAAAGACACAGACUCCCGGGCAGAGGUGAAGGACUCCAUUCCCACGGCCUUCGCGGUUUUGAGCAUCAGAGCCAGUUCCAGCAGAGUGAGAGGAGGGUGCCGGAGCACCUGCACGGACCUCCUGGGUGCAGGACGGGGACGAGCGGCCUGCCCUCUGUGGGUGAGGCUCGGUCCCUGCCCUCUGCUGUCCACGACACGAACUCCGAGAAGACCCUCUGGUUGACGCCAUUGGUGGCUCAGCUAUGAGCCCUGGUCCCGACACUCGAGCUCAGUGUUCCUGUCAUGAAAUGGGCUUGCCGAGCACUCAGUCCUGGGCUUCCGUGAGCUCUGCAGAUCUUGCCCAGAGCGCAGAGUGCCAGCACUGACCGGAGGACGUGCCCACAGAGGAGCCCCAAGGUGAAGGGUCAGACCCAGGGCGCAGGGGCAGUUUCCCAUCCUCCAGUUGUGGGAAGAUGCCACAGAUGCCGCACACCACGCCCGGUCCUGGGCCUUGCUCCCUCAGUGCAAGUCUACUGCCCCAGACACAGGCCCGUGGCCCCACAGGACAGGAGACAUGCGGGAGGGAGAGAAGCCUAGUUCCGUGAUGGGGUCGCCGAGUGCACACCUCGGGGAGGUGGGGACCCCAUUGCCCUCCACUUCCCAGAGCCUGGGUGUCCCCAGAAGCCCUGUUGGGGGCCACAGGCCGAGAUGCCCCAGGUGAGAGGACCAGCACCUCCCGCCCAGGACUGGCCUCUGCCUGGGGGCCAGCCCCAGAGACAUGCGCUCACUCAGGGCCGUUCCCCAGAACCCCACAGCAGGAGCUCCCCCUCCCCGAGCUCCAGGCUCGUCCAGAGCGGAGGUGGGGGCCCGCUCACUCCCAGUGUCCCCGGCUUCGCAGAAGCACCCCAAAUGCCAGCAAGGCUGCGCUUCGACAGGAGCGUCCCACAGUCAGAAACAAGCUGCAGGGUCGGCCGCUCUGAGGAUGGGCAGGAGCCCCCAAGCCAUGUGCCUCCCAGAUGGAAGGUUCUGCUCGAGCCUCAGCCCCUAUGGUGGCACUGAGAGGAGCCCCCAGCCCCGGCCAGGGGCACUCAGAGCCCCUCAGCCCCAGGAGUCUUGGGACUCAAGCCUCCUCUCCUGGUCACCGUGUGGCGUGUGUGGCCCCUCAGGGCUCAUCCUGGAGGAAGGACGCCCGCCAAGUGGCGCCUGGUGGACAUUCUCUGAGGACCUCGGGGGCACAAGAAGUUCGUGCGGGGUCAACGGACGUCCACUUCAUGUCCAGGAGCAGCUGUGGGCGGAGAGCGGGGGCGUAAUCUAAUCUUCCCCUUCUCGCCACAACGAUCGCACGCUAAGGGCUGCUCUCUCUUAAUUAAGCUCAGCUCCCAAAUCCUUCUAACCACGCAACUUCACAAGAAACAUGUAUCUUUCCAAAUUAGCUUUGUGGCUCAGAAUAACAAGCAGCACAGUUAUAUUAAUUAGUGUACAGGAGCUCUAAGAACUCGUUUGCAGGUUGUUUUAUUUGCUCCAAAGGGAGCCGACAUUUAUUGAGGUGGAGGAUGUUCCAGCCCCACUGGGCACGUUAGGACAUCGCCCGUCAGCUCUCACUGAACUCUGCCGCGGGGGAGGCGGGACGGAGGUUGGGAGAGGGGCAGUGAGGGGACCCCCUGCAUCUGCUGCAAAGCCCACUCCACAUUCCGGAAUCACGUGAGGUUCCCUCCCCCCGCAGCUCCCAUGGUUCCUUAAAGUAACGAAUCUGUCUACACUGCAUGCUUCUUACUGAAAAAGCCAAGAGAAAAUCUUUCUCAAAGAGUGAGAUUUUCAAAUAAGGGGAAUCAGAGUCUUUGUAAAAAUCAAGCCUGUGAGACUCAUCCGGGACUUUCAAAGGGAGCUUGGCGGGGACCAGGGCUCCUGGGACAGCCGCAGGUGUACUUCCCACCCCGGCAACUCCACGUUGCACUGUGGGUGACGGAGCCGAGGCUGCCCCAGCUGAGGACCCCACAGAGGUGGCUCCUGCGGGGUUGGUUCAGAAGCUUCCUCCUGCUGCCUGCGAGUAGAGAAACUUACCCCAACCGCACUCUGGGUGUUUUCAGCUCAAAACGUACACACUAGAGUCGAAGCAGGGAAAUGUCUCUGAGGAAGAGACGCGACCCCAACACAUCAGAGGCCCACUGCCCGUCCCGCUGGUGAUCGUGGUCACCGACGACAAUCGUCUCUGCUCCAGAGAAAACUGAGCGCACUUCAAAACCCAUCAUCAGAGGACACACGGCCAGAUCCGCUUCCCCAGACCGCAGCGUUGCCAGGGUCUUCUGCGGUGCCGAAGGGGAGGGAACCAGGGGAGCCCUCGGGGGCAGUCCCGGGUCAUGGGGCUAGGUCAUGGGGGCUCCAAGGAACCACAUCUGUGAUGCCAUCAGUGCCGACCAGCAAGGGCGGCAGAAAGAAGGACUGAGGACGUGAGCAACGAGGCAGUGACUAUUCUCAUUUGGACACUGCGGGCUCCAGGGCACCAGCACCCACAGGCCUGAGGUCUGGCAUCUGCAGCCCCAGUGCAGCAGGAGUGACCCCUCUGCUGGCAGCAGACAGCCGACUCCCAGGGGGAGGUGGUGUCCCCGCGGCCCCAAGGCUGCGCCAGCAGAGUGUGCGUCCUAAACAUGGGACGCAGCCACAGGGAGCCCAGAGCCUGAGGGGAGGAAGGUGCUUGGAGAUCAGCCAGGGGACGGGGCUGGGGGCAGAUGGGUCCCAGAGAGGCCAGCAUGGGAGGGACAGCAGACAAGGAGCAGCACCCAGACCUGCGGCCCCGACAACCUUGGGGGAUACAGAGGACACACUUACAGAUGCUCUGAGAGAGGGGCAGCUGCCGUGUGGACGGUUAGUGCAGGAGACCCCGUUAAAUAUGACCCGAAGGAAAAUUUAAACGGCCUUUGGAAUAAACGACUUAUGGUGCUUCGUGUGGUUUUGGAAAUGCCAGUCGUGUCCCGAAAAGGGGGAGCUGAGCAAACAGCAGAAUCCAGGUGUCUCCCAGUGACCUGGGAUAGUGGAGUUUCUGCCCGAUGAUCUGGGAUAUCUGGGUGUCUCCUCAGUGACCUGAGACAUUGGGGUGUCUCCCUGGUGGCCUGGGGUGACAGGGUUCCCCACUCUCAUGACUGGACACUCUGUGGAGACCUCUCAGGUGCGGCUUCUACUCCAACGACGGACAGUUCUGAAGGCCCCUCAUCUUACCAGGCGAGGCCUUGCACCUGAGGCAGAAAUGCCCGCCCUGUUUACCUUCAGGGUGCUGACACACCCUGGCAGAGACGGUCCCGCUCCCUUAGGGACCGUGGUGGUCUGGGGCCAGGCUUCUGUCUCAGGGAGCCGGGCUGGUGGCCCACGGCUGGCCAGGGGCCCUCUGACGGGUCAGAGCGGUUCUGCUGGUCGAUUGUCUGGCAUCUGCUCCUCGCUGCUCUCUAACGUGACCAGAGUAGAGUUCACGGCAAGACCUUCCCCCAACAGCACCGACCUUGUGCUACCUGGCCUGGAGCCUGGCCGUCCGCAAGCCUGCUGAGCCCAGGGCUCAGGGUCCAAGAGCAGCGGGCGGUCCUGCUGGAGCCAAGCCUGGCUCGCCCUCUCCUCCCCGGGUCCCAAUCUGUGUUAGGCUGGCUGACCAUCAUCUGCCAACCGGCCCUCUGACCCGGCCCCUCCCUGGUUCACCUGUGGAACGCGGGCUGGCCACCCCUCAGCUCGGGGUCUCGGGCCAGCAGGGUGCAGGGUGGCCCUGGCAUAUCCACCCCCCGCUUGGCCGGGCAGGGCUCCCGGAGGCAGCCUCCUUUCUCUCCUUGUCUUCCAGGCUGCAGCGUCCAGGGGCAUCUGUUUUCUCUGCAGCGUUUGCACCCGACGUGUUUUGGUUUCCUCACACUCGUCCGUGAGGGUGCAACACCCCGCCCAAGAAUGGCCUUUGGCCCUGAGGUGAGAGGCUGCCAACUGCGCGUGUAGACAGGGCAUUUGCUCUGGGAGAGAAACUCAGAAAAUGCCCAAGAAAAUAGAGUCUGCAGAGCUGACGGCUCCCACCCCACGUCUGGAUCCUCUUGGCUUUGCCUGUUGCCAGCGGCAACCUGCCGUCUCAUUUCUGCUGGUUUUCCCCCAAACCAGCCAGAUCGUAGCCCUUCUCCUCUCUGCCCCCUUCACAGCCUGCCCCUCCCUCGGCGCGUCCAGACUCUGCGCAGGCAGGCGAGCUGACGCCACGCGAAGCUCAGGGACCCCAGAGUCUUCCCUGGUUACCAAAUGCCCAGUCGGGGUUGGGAAAACACGCCACCGAUUGGAGCUAGGUGCCGGCCCCCGCGAUGACACUGCGGAAUGAGGACUCCGUGUGGUGGAGUGUUUUCCUUCCUGCUGUGGAGUGUUUGUCUCCGUCUGAUUUUUGUUGUGUGAGAACAGCACCCAGAGUCUAGCCUUCCCCCGACAGUCCAGCCGCCUUUUCCUUCUGUGGCACGAAGAAUUGAAGCGGGUCCUAGUGUCUGAGUGAUGGGACGGGAGUGGGGACUGGGAGCGGCUGCAGAGGGAGGCAGUAGGACGGCUUCCCUGAGACCGUGAGGUGGACCCCGUGCCGCUGACAACAUGUCGAUGACCCGUCUGUGCCCGUGAGCCCAAUGGACAACGUAACUCGUUGCCCGGGAGGGGCUGAGGGCAGUGGGCGAGGUGAAGGCCACAGCCCUGAGAGGGGCCAGUCUCCUCUGGUGGCUCAGAGCGAGGCUGUCUCUUUCAGCUCCAGUGAGUGACCAAGCGCGAGGCCACGUCCACAGGACAGUGGACAUGCUGGUGGGUCCAGAAAAGUCAGCCGUCCCAUCAUGGCCACUCAGUGCCCUCCGGCCACCCUCUCCCCAAGCUGGCCGAGUGGUCGGCCUAUCAGGGGUCAGACAGACGGCCAGACUAGCUGAAGCAUCAGGUCAACUUCUUCCCUUCGGUCAUCUCCUCAGGAAGGCGGCGCCAGGCUCCCACAUGAGAGGCAGCCAGUCCGACCAUCCAGGCUGUGCCGAGAGCUCUGCAGAAAGACGGACGGACCUGAAACACAGGAUGCAGCAGGGACUGCUCAGGGGAAGAGGCCGGCCAGACCUCGGCUCCGUGCCGAGGGCUCUGCGAGUGUCGGGCCAACGCCCACCCCAUGUGGAGAGCAGAGCCACACUGAGGUCCGGCAGGAGCUUGCGCUGGAGGCCGGCGUCUGUGCGCUGGAAGAAUCGCGGCCAUCAUAGGCCAGAGGACGGUCGGGUCUUCUCCUCUCCCUGGCGCAGCGAUGGCUCUGCAGAGGGGACGCACACAGUUGCUUCUACCGCACAUUAGAGCAAACCUGGAACCUGGUGCCACUCCACGGGGGCCGGCCGCUGGAGGGCACCUGGAGGCUGGCAGCUGCCUGGCAAGAAGCAACACCUCUUCCAGCUUGAGUGGCAGGCGUUCAUCUCUUCCUCCAGACCAGGGCAGGCGUGCCCUCCACGGGGCCCUGGGGCUUCUCUCGCCUCCACUAUGGAGUCCACGGGCCCAUGGACAUCAGCAGGAGCAAGUUAAUGUGGGCUCAGCCCAUCCUGCCCACAGGGGCACACACAAGCACCUGGGGGCAUAUGCAGGCACACUCAUGCACGUGUGGACACACGGGCACAUUUAGGCACACGGGGGCACAUGUAGGCACACAGGGGCACAUUUAGGCACACGCGGGCACACUCAUGCACACAGGGGCAUACGUGGACUCACAGGGGUGCAUGUAGGCACACGUGGGCACAAGGGCACAUGCAAGUCUGCUGCUGAACACUGCCACCCGUUGCAACCACGACUUCGACUCUGACGUUGGGGACGUGCCAGGUUUGGGUGAAACGCUCGCCUGAGGCUGUUUGUGGGCCGCUACAAAGAACAUCUGGCACCAGGAACAGCAGCUGCUUAAGGCUAAAAAUAGAUCCUCGAGGUGAAUCUUCAAAACCAGGGAAUGGCCUCCACGCUGUCACCGUUGCGUGGGUCAGAGUGUGCCUCCUUGAUUGCGGGUGACCUUUUCGGAUGUCCCCUUCCUCAUGUGUCUCCGUGUGGGGUUCUCUGUACCUGAUCCCAAAGCAGGCGAGUGGGCUGCUUGUGUCCAGUACAGGAACCAAUUCCGUCAUCUAGGACGCGGGCGAAGCAAGAAGAGACGAGAGGGAGGGAGUGAGCCAGUGGUCAGCCCGGUGUCUUUCUCCAUUUGCUUUUUUUUUAAAGAUUGGGAGGAGAAAAAAAAGAGAGAGAGAGAGAGCAGGUAUGACAACAAAACAGUUGUGCUGCGUGAGAACACGCCCUUCCCGUGGCUUCUGUUCUGCCUGCUUCACCGAGCAAAAGCAACGAUUGCAGGCCUUGCCCACUGAGGCCAUCCUGUGACAAACCUCAGACUGCUUGGAAGGGGCAGACCCUCCUCUGGGUCCCACGCUCCUGGCACAGAGCAGACGACGGUAAAGGAGCGGAUUGCCACCAACCACAGUCAGUGGGUCGAUUGACUAUUUCACAGUGAGGCAUACACAUCCAUAUCGAGUGUAUAAAUAAUAUUUAUUGACAGAACUUCAAGUUUAUAGUGGAACCUGCCAACCACAGAAAAUAAAGACCAGCAAUAGAAUUGAAUACCAAAUUCCACACUUCCUGCCACAGGCCCUGCAUCCCAGUCACUCCUCUACUCUAAAGGAAUGCCACCAGGUCUGUUCCUAGCAGGGCCACCAGCUCUAGCUGCUGUUUGCAAAGUGAGGACUUGCACCCGCCAUGCUCUCUCAGCCCUGCUGGCUCUGACACGCCAGGACCUCGGUCCUGAGAUGUAACCGUGUAGAGGUUCACGAGAACUUUGUUCAUGGAAACUCAACAUCAGAAAGCAGACGGAGACGUAAUAGGAAAGGGCAGUUAAAGUCCCCCAGCUCGAACUGAGAGUUUGGGUUCGUCUCUCGGGAGAAGCCGCGUCUCUAAGUGCCUGGAAGACCACGUGGGAGUGGCAGGCGGUUCGUGAGCAGAAUGCGGGGCUCUUGCAACGGGAAGAGAUGUGAGAGGUCCAGUGUAACUCCUCACAUCCAUAAACAAGGAGAGGAGGUCCAGCAAUGCAAAGCAGCUCACCCCAAUUGCCACCAGCGACAGCUGUCAGAACCAAGACCAGGACCUAUGACCCCUGACCCCAGCCCACUGACCUUCCUUCCACCUCACUCUACUAGCGCAUCCAACCGCCACCAGCAAACAUCAGCAGUUCACUGCCUGUCGGGAUCUUGGACCCCAGCAGUGAUUCUCAGGAUGUGGCCCAUGACAUGGGGGCCGGAGAUGCUCAGUGGCCCGUAGAUCAGAACUGGUUCCCAUGGUGAUAAAAUGCCGCUGGCUUCCUCGCACACUGACGUUUGCGAGGACGGUGCAGAGCCGCGGGGGUGGGACUGAGCGCACGCCUGAGCAGCGCCAAGGUGGUGGCGUCAAGUUGCGCGAGUCCAUCCUCACGCACUUGCGGAUAAACAAAAGCUGCAGCUGCACUUUAAUACGUCCUUAAUAAAGCAAAAAAGGACUAAUUUUAUUACACUUCGACCCUCGAAUGCAGACCUUUCUAGUAUUCUGUGUGAGCGAGGGGGACACACAGAGUGCUCGGGCCAGAUGGUGGCCGUGCCGAAGACAGCGCAGCUGAGCCAUGGCUGGACCAGCCCUUUUGUCGGAGAACACUAUUUCCACCUGAAAGAACAACCAACAGACUCGUUAUUGGGGAGUGGGUGUCAGGCAGACACCGUCCUGAAAAUGAACAGGCGAACCUGCUGCUUUAAGGUAAACAGCUGACGGUGUUUGUUGCUGAGGACAAGGUUUGAGCUUUCAAGCAAAAACUAGAGUUUAGAGGUUGGGGUGUUACUGACAAACAUGACUUUUUGGUGUUGCAUAAAGAGAUGUGCCAGCGUCUGGAAGAUCCUCGUGACCCCAUGAACUGACUUUCUCCAAGUGACCAGAGCACGACGUCCCAAAACCUGCACGGGCGGCAGGUCGUCCAAUGAGCAAGGAGAGCACAGCCUUCGAUGCCGCAGCCCAAGAAGUUUGCCAACGCGGCUUCAGAUUCUGCAGAGCAGCUGACCUUUAAAAACCACAUUCACCAGGUUUGUGUGAUGUCAGAGAAGAAUAUGCACAAUUGUCUGAAGAGGCUAAUAAAUCUGCGUGGGGCCAGACUUCUUUCUAUAUUUCAACCAGCACAGUACCUCACAGCGGCCUGAACACAGAAGCGGAGCGGAGAGUCUGUCUGUUAAGCCAGAGGUAGAAGAGACUUGCAAAAAUCACUGAAUGAUAUGUCACUGUCCGGGUGGACCACAGCUAACCCGUCCACCUACUGAAGGGCCUCUUGGUUGCUUCCGAGAUUUGGCAGUUGUGAAUGAAGCUUCCGUAAACAGCCACGUGCAGGUUUGGUGAGGACGUCAAUUUUCAGUUCCUCUGGGUAAACACCCAGGAGUGCGAUGGCUGGGCUGCCUGGUGAGAGGGUUGAGUUUGUAAGGAGAGUGGAGGCUUCGCUCUGAAGGAAACCUGUGAGGCCUCAGAGAAAAGACCCCCAGACGCGAACACCUGGAAUGCCCCCAGGAGCAGGCCCUCGUCUGCGAGUGUGGCUCGCACAGCUGCAGGGGACCCUGACGCAGAAGCCCAGCGGGGACCCCGUCUUAGGAAAGUCCUCGACAUCAAAGAGGGACCGAGACAGAAACAACAACAGAAGCCUGGAGGGCCCAGACACAAUUCAGGAAGCAGAAGAAAACCCAUAAAGAAAACAGAAGCAGGAUUGUGAGGAACCGUCGAAGCAAG
rnacentral:lncRNA from 1 species